CCUACGGGUGACAGCAGUGAGGAAUAUUGGUCAAUGGACGAGAGUCUGAACCAGCCAAGUAGCGUGAAGGAUGACUGCCCUAUGGGUUGUAAACUUCUUUUAUAUGGGAAUAAAACGUUCCACGUGUGGGAUUUUGUAUGUACCAUAUGAAUAAGGAUCGGCUAACUCCGUGCCAGCAGCCGCGGUAAUACGGAGGAUCCGAGCGUUAUCCGGAUUUAUUGGGUUUAAAGGGAGCGUAGGUGGAUUGUUAAGUCAGUUGUGAAAGUUUGCGGCUCAACCGUAAAAUUGCAGUUGAAACUGGCAGUCUUGAGUACAGUAGAGGUAGGCGGAAUUCGUGGUGUAGCGGUGAAAUGCUUAGAUAUCACGAAGAACUCCGAUUGCGAAGGCAGUUCACUGGACUGCAACUGACACUGAGGCUCGAAAGUGUGGGUAUCAAACAGGAUUAGAUACCCUUGUAGUC
rnacentral:rRNA from 1 species